rnacentral:lncRNA from 1 species
UAUGUUCUUGAUACUUGACCUUAUUAAGAAGCAUAUACAUAUACAUCCAUAAUGAUAAUGAUGUAUAUCAAUAUUAACCCAAUAUAUCCAUAUCCCAACACUCCCCCUCAAACUCAAGAACCCACGAUAUCCAUAUCCUAACACUCCUCUUCAAACUCAAGAACCCAAGAUAUCCAUAUACCAAUAGCAGGAAACCCUGCGAGUUUGGCAUGGGUGAGCUCUGUUUUGCCUAUUCUCUGGUUUGGCUUUGCUCAUCAAUCUUCCCCUUUCUUCAUCAUCUCGAAAGUCUUCUUCUCCAUCUUCUCUCUCUACCGUGAAUUGGUCUAUGCGUCAAGCACUAAAUACCACUUGAGGUUUAACCAAAUUGGUAAAUGAUAAUGGAUGAUUAAAUUCAGCGGAGCAGGUGAGUGAGG